ACCGAGUCUUAACCGGGCGUUAAGUUGCAGGGUAUAGACCCGAAACCCGGUGAUCUAGCCAUGGGCAGGUUGAAGGUUGGGUAACACUAACUGGAGGACCGAACCGACUAAUGUUGAAAAAUUAGCGGAUGACCUGUGGCUGGGGGUGAAAGGCCAAUCAAACCGGGAGAUAGCUGGUUCUCCCCGAAAGCUAUUUAGGUAGCGCCUCGUGAAUUCAUCUCCGGGGGUAGAGCACUGUUUCGGCUAGGGGGCCAUCCCGGCUUACCAACCCGAUGCAAACUGCGAAUACCGGAGAAUGUUAUCACGGGAGACACACGGCGGGUGCUAACGUCCGUCGUGAAGAGGGAAACAACCCAGACCGCCAGCUAAGGUCCCAAAGUCAUGGUUAAGUGGGAAACGAUGUGGGAAGGCCCAGACAGCCAGGAUGUUGGCUUAGAAGCAGCCAUCAUUUAAAGAAAGCGUAAUAGCUCACUGGUCGAGUCGGCCUGCGCGGAAGAUGUAACGGGGCUAAACCAUGCACCGAAGCUGCGGCAGCGACGCUUAUGCGUUGUUGGGUAGGGGAGCG
rnacentral:rRNA from 1 species